GUGUGUACCCACAUAAGGUGGGUCAGAUGAAGAAUGAAUGAAGGGGAAGGUUAAGGGCUGUCCAGAGGACGGUGCCAGAGCCAGAGCCUUGUGGGUAUUUCAUCAGUUUUUUCAAACUGGGUAAAACGUCAAGGACACAAUCGGAAACAAUCCGAGUCCAGAGUGUAGAGAGCAGACAAACAAACCGUUUAACUCUUAGCGUUCUCACCGCUUGCCUAGCAUGCCUCUGGAGGAUGCAAUGUUACUCAAGCUAGAGCUAGGCUACAUUGCUUUGCCAGGGAAUAGGACCAUGAGAACCGGAGACAUGGCCUGCUUCUUUAUCUCCUAAACUCUGUAGCUCUGUGGUGCUUCCCAGAAACACUUGGUCUACCAGGAGACACUCUGACGCACACACCACGACCUGGCUGGGAUCAGCAAGGCCUCAUCCUGCCGUUACUAUACCUGCACACACCUAUGCAGGCACGCAGGGAGGGGAGAUAGACAGAGAGGAGGAGAGCAGAAAGAGAGGGAGGAGGUUACAGUGAGAGGAGAGCAGUAAGGGAAGAAAAGCUCACAUCGAGAAGUCACAUCUGGAAGUCUCCCAGCAGAGAUGCCAGUGAAAU
rnacentral:lncRNA from 1 species